rnacentral:rRNA from 1 species
UUGGCUUAGAAGCAGCCAUCAUUUAAAGAGUGCGUAAUAGCUCACUAGUCGAGUGACACUGCGCCGAAAAUGUACCGGGGCUAAACAUAUUACCGAAGCUGUGGAUUGUCCUUUGGACAAUGGUAGGAGAGCGUUCUAAGGGCGUUGAAGCAUGAUCGUAAGGACAUGUGGAGCGCUUAGAAGUGAGAAUGCCGGUGUGAGUAGCGAAAGACGGGUGAGAAUCCCGUCCACCGAUUGACUAAGGUUUCCAGAGGAAGGCUCGUCCGCUCUGGGUUAGUCGGGUCCUAAGCUGAGGCCGACAGGCGUAGGCGAUGGAUAACAGGUUGAUAUUCCUGUACCACCUAUAAUCGUUUUAAUCGAUGGGGGGACGCAGUAGGAUAGGCGAAGCGUGCGAUUGGAUUGCACGUCUAAGCAGUAAGGCUGAGUAUUAGGCAAAUCCGGUACUCGUUAAGGCUGA